rnacentral:rRNA from 1 species
AUACAGAGGGUGCAAGCGUUAAUCGGAAUCACUGGGCGUAAAGCGCGCGUAGGCGGUUUAAUCAGUCGGAUGUGAAAGCCCCGGGCUCAACCUGGGAACUGCAUUCGAUACUGUUAAGCUAGAGUAUGGUAGAGGGAAGUGGAAUUCCAGGUGUAGCGGUGAAAUGCGUAGAUAUCUGGAGGAACAUCAGUGGCGAAGGCGACUUCCUGGACCAAUACUGACGCUGAGGUGCGAAAGCGUGGGGAGCAAACAGGAUUAGAAACCCUGGUAGUCC